UACGAAGGUGGGAAGCGUUGUUCGGAUUUACUGGGCGUACAGGGAGCGUAGGCGGUUGGGUAAGCCCUCCGUGAAAUCUCCGGGCCUAACCCGGAAAGUGCGGAGGGGACUGCUCGGCUAGAGGAUGGGAGAGGAGCGCGGAAUUCCCGGUGUAGCGGUGAAAUGCGUAGAGAUCGGGAGGAAGGCCGGUGGCGAAGGCGGCGCUCUGGAACAUUUCUGACGCUGAGGCUCGAAAGCGUGGGGAGCAAACAGG
rnacentral:rRNA from 1 species